GGGCAGUCGCUGAGUGGGACGCUCAAGUUCAUUCGGGGCCUGGGGGCCGAGGAGGAGGGUGAUGACGGCGACCGGAACUAUGGCUGGGACUUCCCUUCCCCGCCUCCGGGGAGCCUCGCCCCUGCCUUGCCCUGGAGCCCGCUGUGGCAGGGCCAGCGGAGAGGGGCGCCGCUGCCUUCACCGGACCCCGUCGGUGAGGUGGGACGGCUGCACCCCGCGCCCCUAGAGCCAGGACCCCGCUCCCGCAGCCACGUGGCCGGGCCGCCUAAAGCCACGAGGGCCUUUAACAGUUAGGGGCGUGUCCACUAGGGGGCGGCAGAGACCGGCGUCCGUCCGCACUCUGACCCCGCCCCUCCGGCUCUAAAGAGCGGCUCCCGGAGUCCGCACCUGCCGAGCCGGGCCCCGCAGCGCCGGAACGCGCCUCCGCCCCGACUUGCUCCCGGACCCCGACGGACUCCCCGCCGUGCCGUGGAACGUGCACGAGCGCACUUCGUCCCCACGGCGACCCCGGGCGGCCGGGGCUGUGUUACCGCCCCCGUUUUACACGCAGGGAAACCGAGGCCCAGAGAAGAACGUGAGCAGAGGAGGAGCAGAGGGAGAAGGAGAUGCAGAACCCGAAGCAGGCUCCAGGGUCCGAGCCGUCAGCACAGAGCCCAACGCGGGGCCCGAACCCACGAACCGCGAGAUCGUGACCUGGGCCGAAGUCGGACGCUCAACCUACGGAAGCACCCAGGACCAGCUGCACCGGCUCUUGUGGGCGCCCCGGAGAGCAGGACAAGAAGGUUCCGGGUACGUGGUCCAAAGGACAUCCCCGAACGUGACAUUUAGGACGAUCCAUUUCUCCAUCGACGACUUCUCCAAGUGCAUACAUAAUAAAUAAAUAGAAAACACAUCUUUGUUCGUGGCAACACCUAUGAGAAAUGUUUACGAACAAAACAUCUAAUUCCCGAAAAAGGACCAGCCGUUUCGGCAACAGGAAAGAGACCAGCAUUUCAGGGGAGUGUGGCUCGCCCCAGAGGGCCUAACUCAUUUGGACGCCGACAGACAGAACCGUGGGAGCGAUUUUCCAGGCAGUGAGAAAACGUGUGCCACCAAGAGCACGCCGGGCCCCUGGCUCUUGCUGGCUGGCGUCGGAGGGAGAGUGCGCGCACGGACCCUGAGCUGCUGGGCGUGUGUAUAACUCUGAGCAUUUUCAAACAGAUACACUCUCUGAAACCAACCGAACCAAAGACUGUCCACACUCCUGGCCACCGGAAGCGACCCCACCCUAGCUGGUUCACAGUGUGAGACCCUCGCGUCGACAGAGUUUGAAAAACUCAACAGAACUGCAGACAGGGACAUGAGGUCACGACUCCCCUCCCCACCCAUCACCGGGAAUCUGCGUGGAAGAGGUUUCUCCCGGGAGCACGGCCCCUGCUGUGUCCCACCUUCACCUCCCAGCAGCUGGACGGACCGUGCUCCGGGAAACCGCUCUGGCAGUCGGCUCAGCCUGGGGAGGGGACCCCCUCCCGAGGGCCACGGCUGCAGAGGGGGCAGAGAAGGCCGUCUUCGAAGGAAGAGGUGCCAAGAGUGUGUGGUUGGCACAGGAAAGGGGGACAUGCAGCUCGGCGUGACCCUGGGGCCCCCCGGGAGAGUGUGAACCCCAGAAGGGGUCCCCUCCCUCAGGAGCUCUCUGAGCUCCCUGCAGGGCGGAGGGUGCGCGAGGCAGACAGCUCAGGGGUCAGCGGUAGCUGUGAGCCCCCGACCCCGGCAGCCGAGCCGGCUCACCCAAAGCGUUGACGCAAGCCCGCUACUGUGCCCUGGGCCGCACCUGUGCACCUGCACUCGGGUAGCACCAGCGGGACGGCCGUGGCCACCAGGACAAGCGGGGGCCGCAGGGCCGCCCCAACCUGCGGGGCGGGCAGCGGGCCUGCAGGGAAACAGCCAUCGGCCAAUUCUCUCUAUUCUUAUGACUUUUUCAGGGGACUCGUCCCCGUUCGGGGAGCUCCGGUGGGAGCGCCAGGGGCCGGUUGUUGAGGCAAUGUGGUGUGGCGGCAGGUGCUGGCCGGGGGCCUCUCGGCCCGGCCCUGGCCUGGCCGCGUGGUUCUUCCCCAUCUCGGGGUCUCACACGCCCCCUCCGUGAAAGGAGGGUCUUGGACUGGACGUACCCUAAGGUCCUCUCCGACUCUGAAACCUCGGGCUCCUGAGGUGAGAGCACGCUCCCAGGUCUCGGGAUAAAGAACAAAUGAGGCCCCAGGUAGGAGCUCACUUCCCUCGACUUGGUCCAGCCCGCCCUGGGGCCAGGAGGUGCUCAGUGCUCUGGGCACCUCCGCCCGGCCCGGCCCCCCCGCCCCGGCUCAUGCGGCCUUGCUGGGUGUGCCAGCAAGCUUCAGGCACAGGGUGACCCAGUGGUCAGCAGCUUCAGCAGGUGGGAGCACCUCCGAGCUACUGGGGGGGGGGGGGGGCUGCCCGAGCCCGCCCUGCAAGGUACCCACCCCCUUCCUCCUCCUGCAGGCCGCGUCCUGACCCACCCGAGCACGCGGGAUCCUGGCCCGGUCUUCUUCUGAUCCCGCCCAUCCUGCAGCCUGGGAGCCCGGACCCCAGGCCGGACCUCCCGCAGCUCUGCCCUCACGGCCCAGGGCGCCCAGCCACACGGCACCCUCGCGUCUGCCGCUGGCUUCCGCCUGCAGUGUGGUCUCAGAACGCAGAGGGCCUCUAAAAGUCACCUCGUCCCCGCCCCCCCCCCAUUCCAGGACCCGAGGCCUCCUGAACGGUCGGGUGAACCCUCCAGAGGCAGGGCUCGCCCGUCCCCCGAGGGGAGCUGGUCCCGUCCUGGCCGCCUCCAUCUACACACCGGCUCCUGACCCCUUGAAGGGGGAGCCAGCCGUCCCGCCUGGCCCGCGGCCAAGAGUCCACCGUCCGAGUCCACUGUGGAGCGACACGAGGUGGCUGGCGUCCUCACAGUUUCUUCUUCCUCACCACAGGGAUGGGCACCACUUGGAAGAUUUUGGCACCGUGGUCCUCAGUGUCCAGAGUCACCCAGGUGGGCCGGAAGCUCCCUUUGAAGCCAACGAACGCCAUUUUCUCUGGAAAGCGGGUGAGUCACAUGAACAGAAAUCCCAAGAGAGUGGCUUCCGCCAGGGCUCCCAUCGCCCUUCCCUGCAGGCAUUUCCAGGCGCCCUCUCCCAGCCGCCCCGGGCUCUGCCCCCCCCGGGAGCAGCUUUGCGCCUGAUGAUGUCAUUUGCGAGGGGCACACAGGGUCUCACCCGAGCCUCCAGUCGGCCAUGCGGGGUGGUGGCCCUACUUUGCACAGGAGGCCCCCCCCAGGUCCCCGGCCGCCUUCGGGCUGAGCCUCUGAUCACCAGCGAGUCCCUGUGCCUCUCUGAAGCCCAGCGUCCCCUGUCAGCCAGCCAGUCACACGAGGGAUGACGCUCAGCUACAGGACCUCUCCCAGCUCCAACAUGCCGUGGCUUUGGAAGGACUCCGUCCGAGGGUUCAGAGAUGGCGUGGCAGCUGAGCUCUGGGUUAGAAGCGUUCGGAUCCAAAUUCUAAUCUUGGGCAAGUUACUUAAGCGUCUGGUUCCAUCCCAGACAGAAGCAACGGCACCGUGACCCGUGAACGCGUGGCAAUCGCAGCGAGCUCAGCAGGUGCACAGCCUAGCACCACGCGUGGACCCCAGCGGACGUUAGCGUCUGCGGGCUUGUUCCGCCUCCCUCCCAGCCUCCCCUGGGCUCCGCGGUGACGGUGAUGAGGGUCUUGCUGGGCGGGCUUCCCUGUGGGGUCUGCGCUGGGCUUCACCGCAAAAGCACCGAAGGACCUCCGACAAGCCGCAGCAAUGCCUCGGGCUUUCGUUUCUCCGUCCCUCCCUACCUGGGCGUAUGAGUGUCCAGCCCACCAGAACAUGGAGGACAAGGCAGAGCCCCGCCUGUCCCUGUAGCGGGAGCCGGGACGGGGGCAGAUCAAGCCACUAUCCUGCUGAUGCUUUGGUUUAACAAGGGGAGGGGGCCCGUGCUGAGCGGACGGGUGAACAACUCAGGAAGUGGCUUCCCGUGUCUGGUCACACGUUGGGAGGAGGCUGCUGGCGUGUAGGGAUGGUGAACGGGCGGCAUCCGGCCUGCACAUUCUGGAAGGCCACCUAGUGUCGAGGACCCUGGGGUCUGGUGGGGAGCACUGUGGUCUCGGCAAGAGGUAGCAGCAGCCCGCACACCAGGCAUCUGGACUUACGUGUAGACCCCUGGUAUGGAGCGCUUACCUUUCAACCUGAGGUUCUUAUCUGCGCCGAGCUUUUCUAACACUCUGGUCCACAGGCCCCUGGAAGUGUAUCGUCCCUUCGACACCACGAGCACGAUGGAGCUGCACGAGAGGAGGUGUCAGAGGCCAGGAGGGGAGAGCAGGUAAGGUGGGGGCAGUCAGCAGCGCCCAGAGGCCCGGCUGCGGGUUUGGGGAAAGGCCACCUGUCCCUUGUGCCGAGCGGACCAGCUCUUUCCAUGCUUGACCCACAUCCUGGCCUCCCUCCCACACAUCUGGCCGCAGUCGGCACCCAGGGACCUCCCCACACCUGCUCUCAACUCACUUGCUGCCUGCACGUGUGUCUGUCCCCAGAGAGGACGGGGUAGGUGCACAGAGGAGGGACUUCGGCUUGCAUUUAUUAAUGCGAAUGUCCUCAGCCCAUUGGGUUGGGACCAGAUAGAAACAUGGCAGGAGAGCAAGCCAGAAGCUGGGGUCACCGCGUGCUUGGGGAGUGUUAACCUCCACGUUCACAUCACUUUCUGCCCGGUUUGCACAUGGGAGAUUGGGGCGAGUUUACUAGGCCCAAGGGGAGUCGUGCUCGGAGGCGGGGGGCAGGGGCCUGGAGCGAGGCGUGUGCCCAGCCGGACGGGCCCCGACUUGCAGAAGCCCAGCUUGGGGGCCCGGCGAGACUCUCUGCUCCCCGCCUUGGUCGUGUUCAGGCCCACAUGUUGGGAACACAGCCUCACGGUGGCAGACUCCGCGGGGCCGGGACAGACAGGCGAGGUGAGCACCUCCCCCCCAGGAAUAGCAGCCUAACGGGCUCCCGGCUCACAUCUCACAGGAAUCCCAUAACCACAGACCACAGUCCAGACGCGGAAAAACCAGACAGGGUUCUGGAAGCCGCGGUCACCCCCGUUUGUGUCCCUUCGGGAGCAGAAGGAACACCCUUCAGAUGCACCGGGCUCGUCAGCCCUAGGGACAGGGAGGGGAGCUGGGGCUGCCUGGGGACGAGGCCCCAGGGGACGGCAAGGUGAAGCCAGCAGAGAGAGGGAGCAUCGCACACUUGUUCUCGGCACUGGGCUCGGGCGCCGUUCCCAGGAGGCCAUUUCGUCAUCGUUCCAGUUCGGAGGAAAAGCUCACGUCCCUUUGGCACAGCUAGGCCUCGCCGCUUGGGAGAACCCAGACAAAGGUCGUGCCCUCUAGACUGGGCUCUGGGUUAGCUCCCAGGAGCGGGACGCAGACGGGGCUCCUCGUGCGUCACAGCAUCCUGAUGGGGCCAGAAGCCUGCACGCUCAGAGGUGUCCCUGUCUGCCCCGUAUGGGACUGUCACGGCCUGUGAAUGCCUACACUCAUCAGCACAGGGUAUGGUGGCAAGGCAGAGGCCGCUCUGACAAGCCACCCGGACUUCCCACUGUGCCAGGUCGUGGCCCCUGAGAGCGAGUUGUACCCCCCGUUUAGCGAGAAACGCAAAACCGAGUUAGACGUGGCCCCGACGCGAGGAAGCGCGGGCCCUCGCCCGGAAGCGGCCGCGUCCCCGGGGCUGCUGAGACUCGUGUGUUAGUAGAGGCAGAACUUUGUGGUUGCGUUGGAAGAGACCUCACCAAAGAGGUGCGCGUUAGAUUGGGAAGGUGCCGGGAGUUACCAGGGAUUUCUAGGAAAGGGCACAGGAGGUGCUGGGGGAAAUUCAAGCCAGCAGCUGGCAGGGAGGCCGGGUCAGGCUGGGGCGGCAGAGGCCUGGCCCGUCAGGAGGUUGAGCCGGAGGGCCUGCUUCGCAGCCACAGACAGGCCGGGCUGGAGGGUGAGCGGGCAGGUGGGGGUCCGGGACCCGGUCACAGAGGAGGAAGGAACAGGGGAGUCACGCAGGAAGCCCAGACCGUGGUCCAGCCGUCUGCAAGGUUCAGGCCCACGAACCGAAACACGGUGAACGGGAGGAGGGGCCGGGCUGGGAGGUGACGGCCAAGGGCGAGGUUGGGUUCCACGGGAGACUUGUAGCCCGUCAGACGUGGCGGUGCCGGGAGAGGUGUGGGCUGGAGAACUUAAGAGCCACCGGCACUUGGAUCGCAUCGAAAGCGUGGGCGGGGUGAGGUCAUGCUGGGAAAGCGUGUCGUGGCCGGGGAACGAGGCCAGGGCCAGGCUUCCCACUUGUAAGCGGGCAGCCCGGCCGCCUCGGCCUGACCUACAUUCGCCGCCCCGUGCCCGUUAGGUCGUCAGAGGCGCGGGCAGACCUCGAACGCGCCCUCGGCGCCCCCAGACCGGACGCGAUGGGGUGGGGGUGGGAGGGGGGGGGGACGCGCGCAGACUCACUUGUCGGGGAUGGCCGUCACGUGACUGAACAGCUGCCACGGGACGCCCUGCAGCAUGGUGCUGCUGAAGCUCGUGUGGCUCACCACGUGCCCGCGGCUGCCGUCGAUCGCCACCAUCUGGAUGCCGUCCUCGGAGCUGGGGAUGGCCAGAGAACAAGUUUCUUUUGUGGCGGGCAACCCUGGCUUGUGGUCGUCGGUGACAACAGCCCCAGGACAUAACACCGCCUCCCCCUGUGGCCAAGCAGCGCCCCUGCAGGGGCCGGAACCACUCACUUCAAUGUAAGCCACGUCGCUCAGGAGGUGAAAGAAACGCUCCCUGGAACUCUCCAUCUUCACCUCCAGGAAGCGGUCCUUUGUCUUCUGGAAAGCAAGGCCUUGAUCCUGAUUCGCUCGCAGCCUUUCACGGAGCAGAAGGCGAACCUCUCCCUCUCGUUCUGGGCUCUCAGCUUCAGGAACAACAGCCUGCGUGCGGGGACCACGGCCGGGCUCGCUCAUGCGUUCGCCACCCUCCUCCCCCUCUGUCUUCACGUCACCUCCCAAGCCCCACGCUGGCCCCCGCGGUGAGACCCACGGGCCUUACGAGAUGGCCACCAGGCCGUGUCUGCCACGGGGUCACGUGUGGUCCGAGAGAGAAACGAGCACCCGGGCGUCAAAGCUCGCAACGCCAACGGGGACCGUUUUCUGGGCACGUGCCCUAUGCCACGCUCCGCGCAGGCCGUGAGUGGACACACCAUCUCGCUUAACCCUCAGACGGUCCCGUCCAGUAGGUGCCGUCACCGCCCCGCUUUCUCGGACUCCGAGCAGCUGACUGACUCGGGACCACACGGGAGGACGGUCACAGAGCCGGGCCACCCCGUCACUGUGCCUGCUGAGGCGAGCCUUCCUCACUAUACUUUUCUCAAAACUGCAUCUUUUCCCUGAUUGUUGGACAGGACUAGAGGCCGCGGGGGUGGUGCAGGGGGUCGGCCGACGAGGAAACCGAGGCACUAACUUAGGACUUGUCACCGUUCCUCCUGCUGAGAAACGACCUUCCAGGCUGACUCCCAUGCCUGCAGCAUUUGAAAGGCUGUUCCCGUGCCGACCCCUCUCUGGGAGCCGCCUGCGCCCGGACGGCCCGGCGAGCUGGGUUCGCGCCAUGAUGCCAUGACCUCCACCCACCGUCGCAUAGCCGGUCGUGCCAGGGAAGCACCUGGACGCGCAGAGGGGCCGAUCGAGACUUCAGACGGGCCCCAGGGAGGGGACCAGACAGCUCCCUAUUCUCCACAGACACUCCAGCCCUGUUAUCCCUCCAC